UUCAUUAAUGCCCUCAUCCGACCCU
rnacentral:piRNA from 1 species